UUGCACGUCUUGUUUAAAGGUCUUCAUGCUCAAGAAUUAGAGAGCAUGACUUGUUUUCUGAGAACUUAUCUUUCCAAAUGGGUGAAAUGUGAAUUCUAUGGUUACAUCUCAAAUCUUAUUCCGUUCUGGGUUUUGUAAAAUAAUGAGACACUCAUUUAAAUUAUAAGUAUGGUUUGAAAUUCAUACCUGAUUAUGCGUAAGGUCAGGUGUCAGUGGAAAGAUACAUAAUGGUAAUGAGGUAUGAAAAUAGGGCUGCGAUUUACUGUUAAAAGCCAGAAGGCUUCAUUGAGAUAGGUAUAUCUAAGGAUUAUGCUCUUAUAGUGGCACAGUGAUGCAUUUAUGCCUUGAAUUUUGAGUAAUGAAACAGUUUCAGAAAUUGAAGCACACUCAUUGGAGAACAUGAGUUCUGAGCAGUAAUGUUAAUUUGUGAAAAACAUGCUGCUAGAAACUUGUUAGCUACUGCUUAGCAGCCUUUGAAAUACUGCUUUGUCACUAAAGGGAGUAAUUGAUAUGUAUACACAGAUAUUUUGUCAAGGUAUUCUAAAUUCUUGGAGCAUGUGGACCCAGUUUGAAGCACUCUUCUUAGCUGUUUGCCCCAGAUCCAGGAGAAAGUGCUUGUAAUUUUGCAAGUGGAUGUAAAACUAAGAGAAGCAAGAUUUGUAAAUGUGAGCUCACCUUGUUUGGAAGGUGCUGGGGAAGGAAGACAAUCUGCACAGAGAUGCAGGUUCUUCUGCCAUGUUUGACAGGCACUUCAAGCAGGAUGAAUGGGAAAAAGCAAUCCCGUGCUUGUUUGUUUGUUUUUAUUUACAGAGGAAGCAGCAGAUCUCAAAUUGUUCCCGGGAGUAUCAUCAAGCUGUAGGCAGAAUUAAGUGCCUUCUCUUGCUGGAGAUUAAAACAGACGUGUUGAGUGGACAAGGAAAGGGAGACAACAGGCAUCAUUCUUCAUAAAUCCACUCUUCUCUGAAAACACUGCAUGGAUGUAUUUGUUUUGAGAUGCAAGGGAACUGCUGAGGUCCUUAGGGGCACAAGUGGGGAGA
rnacentral:lncRNA from 1 species